GCAUGUCUAGUAUAAGCAUUUAUACAGUGAAACUGCGAAUGGCUCAUUAAAUCAGUUAUCGUUUAUUUGAUAGUUCCUUUACUACAUGGUAUAACUGUGGUAAUUCUAGAGCUAAUACAUGCUUAAAAUCUCGACCCUUUGGAAGAGAUGUAUUUAUUAGAUAAAAAAUCAAUGUCUUCGGACUCUUUGAUGAUUCAUAAUAACUUUUCGAAUCGCAUGGCCUUGUGCUGGCGAUGGUUCAUUCAAAUUUCUGCCCUAUCAACUUUCGAUGGUAGGAUAGUGGCCUACCAUGGUUUCAACGGGUAACGGGGAAUAAGGGUUCGAUUCCGGAGAGGGAGCCUGAGAAACGGCUACCACAUCCAAGGAAGGCAGCAGGCGCGCAAAUUACCCAAUCCUAAUUCAGGGAGGUAGUGACAAUAAAUAACGAUACAGGGCCCAUUCGGGUCUUGUAAUUGGAAUGAGUACAAUGUAAAUACCUUAACGAGGAACAAUUGGAGGGCAAGUCUGGUGCCAGCAGCCGCGGUAAUUCCAGCUCCAAUAGCGUAUAUUAAAGUUGUUGCAGUUAAAAAGCUCGUAGUUGAACUUUGGGCCCGGUUGGCCGGUCCGAUUUUUUCGUGUACUGGAUUUCCAACGGGGCCUUUCCUUCUGGCUAACCUUGAGUCCUUGUGGCUCUUGGCGAACCAGGACUUUUACUUUGAAAAAAUUAGAGUGUUCAAAGCAGGCGUAUUGCUCGAAUAUAUUAGCAUGGAAUAAUAGAAUAGGACGUUUGGUUCUAUUUUGUUGGUUUCUAGGACCAUCGUAAUGAUUAAUAGGGACGGUCGGGGGCAUCAGUAUUCAAUUGUCAGAGGUGAAAUUCUUGGAUUUAUUGAAGACUAACUACUGCGAAAGCAUUUGCCAAGGACGUUUUCAUUAAUCAAGAACGAAAGUUAGGGGAUCGAAGAUGAUCAGAUACCGUCGUAGUCUUAACCAUAAACUAUGCCCGACUAGGGAUCGGGU
rnacentral:rRNA from 1 species